UACGGAGGAUCCAAGCGUUAUCCGGAUUUAUUGGGUUUAAAGGGUGCGUAGGCGGCUUAUUAAGUCAGGGGUGAAAGACGGUGGCUCAACCAUCGCAGUGCCUUUGAUACUGAUGAGCUUGAAUGAACUAGAGGUAGGCGGAAUGUGACAAGUAGCGGUGAAAUGCAUAGAUAUGUCACAGAACACCAAUUGCGAAGGCAGCUUACUAUGGUUUUAUUGACACUGAGGCACGAAAGCGUGGGGAUCAAACAGG
rnacentral:rRNA from 1 species